rnacentral:tRNA from 1 species
GCCUGGGUGGCUCACUUGGUAGAGUGUCUGACUUCGGCUUAGGUCAUGAUCUCACAGUUUGUGAGUUCGAGCCCCACAUUGGGCU